GGUCAGUGAUGUUAUGUAAAAGGUCUGAAUCUCAGAUCCCCCUCGUCGGCCAUUUUGGCUCCCAGCAGCCCCUGCUCUGUGCUCCCAUCAUGCUCUAGUGGUGCAGUGGUGGUCCCAGGAGCUGCUGACAGACGGGAUGUGACAUCACAGUGCGAGUCUGUACAGAGACCGUACAGGCUCAGUGUGAUGAUGUCAUCCAACAGAACCAAUCAGUGAGGAGCUGGGGCUGAGGAGGUGGGGCCUGAGUUGUGAUCUGACUCUUCUGCUGAGACC